GACGAACGCUGGCGGCGUGCUUAACACAUGCAAGUCGAACGCUGAAGCUCAGCUUUUGUUGGGUGGAUGAGUGGCGAACGGGUGAGUAACACGUGAGUAACCUGCCCCCUUCUUUGGGAUAACGCCCGGAAACGGGUGCUAAUACUGGAUAUUCACUGGUCUUCGCAUGGGGGUUGGUGGAAAGGGUUUUUCUGGUGGGGGAUGGGCUCGCGGCCUAUCAGCUUGUUGGUGGGGUGAUGGCCUACCAAGGCUUUGACGGGUAGCCGGCCUGAGAGGGUGACCGGUCACAUUGGGACUGAGAUACGGCCCAGACUCCUACGGGAGGCAGCAGUGGGGAAUAUUGCACGAUGGGCGAAAGCCUGAUGCAGCGACGCCGCGUGAGGGAUGGAGGCCUUCGGGUUGUGAACCUCUUUCGCUCAUGGUCAAGCCGCAACAAUGGUUGUGGUGAGGGUAGUGGGUAGAGAAGCGCCGGCUAACUACGUG
rnacentral:rRNA from 1 species